rnacentral:rRNA from 1 species
GAUGAACGCUGGCGGCGUGCCUAAUACAUGCAAGUCGAGCGAACAGACGAGGAGCUUGCUCCUUUGACGUUAGCGGCGGACGGGUGAGUAACACGUAGGUAACCUACCUAUAAGACUGGGAUAACUUCGGGAAACCGGAGCUAAUACCGGAUAAUAUUUCGAACCGCAUGGUUCGAUAGUGAAAGAUAGCUUUGCUAUCACUUAUAGAUGGACCUGCGCCGUAUUAGCUAGUUGGUAAGGUAACGGCUUACCAAGGCAACGAUACGUAGCCGACCUGAGAGGGUGAUCGGCCACACUGGAACUGAGACACGGUCCAGACUCCUACGGGAGGCAGCAGUAGGGAAUCUUCCGCAAUGGGCGAAAGCCUGACGGAGCAACGCCGCGUGAGUGAUGAAGGUCUUCGGAUCGUAAAACUCUGUUAUUAGGGAAGAACAAACGUGUAAGUAACUGUGCACGUCUUGACGGUACCUAAUCAGAAAGCCACGGCUAACUACGUG